GAGCCUCAGUGAAAUUGAAAUCGCAGUGAAGAUGCUGUGUCCCCGCGCCUAGCCGGAAAGACCCCGUGACCCUAUAGAACAGCUGGUCACUGCACAUUCGGCCGACAAGUCUAGCAGACCUGGGAGGCGUUCUAUAUGGG
rnacentral:rRNA from 1 species